CGGGUGAGUAAUGUCUGGGAACUGCCUGAUGGAGGGGGAUAACUACUGGAAACGGUAGCUAAUACCGCAUAACGUCGCAAGACCAAAGAGGGGGACCUUAGGGCCUCUUGCCAUCGGAUGUGCCCAGAUGGGAUUAGCUAGUAGGUGGGGUAAUGGCUCACCUAGGCGACGAUCCCUAGCUGGUCUGAGAGGAUGACCAGCCACACUGGAACUGAGACACGGUCCAG
rnacentral:rRNA from 1 species